rnacentral:rRNA from 1 species
AGUGAACGCUGGCGGUAGGCCUAACACAUGCAAGUCGAACGGCAGCACAGUAAGAGCUUGCUCUUACGGGUGGCGAGUGGCGGACGGGUGAGGAAUACAUCGGAAUCUACUUUUUCGUGGGGGAUAACGUAGGGAAACUUACGCUAAUACCGCAUACGACCUACGGGUGAAAGAAGGGGAUCUUCGGACCUUGCGCGAUUGAAUGACCCGAUGUCGGAUUAGCUAGUUGGCGGGGUAAAGGCCCACCAAGGCGACGAUCCGUAGCUGGUCUGAUAGGAUGAACAGCGGCAAUAGCACUGAGGAAAGGUACAGACUCCUAAGGGAGGCAGCUGUGGAGAAUAUAGGACAAUGGGCGCAAACCUGAUCCAACCAUACCGCGUGGGUGCAGAAGGCCUUCGGGUUGUAAAGCCCUUUUGUUGGGAAAGAAAAGCAGCAGGUUAAUACCCCGCUGUUCUGACGGUACCCGAAGAAUAAGUACCGGCUAACUUCGUG